GACGAACGCUGGCGGCGUGCUUAACACAUGCAAGUCGAACGGAAAGGCCCUGCUUUUGUGGGGUGCUCGAGUGGCGAACGGGUGAGUAACACGUGAGUAACCUGCCCUUGACUUUGGGAUAACUUCAGGAAACUGGGGCUAAUACCGGAUAGGAGCUCCUGCUGCAUGGUGGGGGUUGGAAAGUUUCGGCGGUUGGGGAUGGACUCGCGGCUUAUCAGCUUGUUGGUGGGGUAGUGGCUUACCAAGGCUUUGACGGGUAGCCGGCCUGGGAGGGUGACCGGCACAAUGGGACCGGGAAUCGGCCCAGAACCCUCAGGGGGGGAGGCGGGGGGAAAAAUGGCAAAAGGGGGGGAGCCCUGAGGAGAGACCCCGGGGGGGGGGAGGAGGGCUUUGGGGUUGAAACCCCUUUUCGCAUGGAAGGAGGGGUGGGGAAGGGAAAUGGGGAAAAAGCCACGGCCAAAUAAGGG
rnacentral:rRNA from 1 species